CUGAGAGUUUGAUCCUGGCUCAGAGCGAACGCUGGCGGCAGGCCUAACACAUGCAAGUCGAACGGACUCUUCGGAGUUAGUGGCGGACGGGUGAGUAACACGUGGGAACGUGCCCUUUGGUUCGGAACAACUCAGGGAAACUUGAGCUAAUACCGGAUGAGCCCUUCGGGGGAAAGAUUUAUCGCCAUUAGAGCGGCCCGCGUCUGAUUAGCUAGUUGGUGAGGUAAAGGCUCACCAAGGCGACGAUCAGUAGCUGGUCUGAGAGGACGACCAGCCACACUGGAACUGAGACACGGUCCAGACUCCUACG
rnacentral:rRNA from 1 species